UUUUCAGGACAAACUGAAUGGGAGGGUUUGCAUUCAGUGGGAUGGAGAGGCAUGAGAAUUGCUAUAUCUUUGUAAAUUAAUACCCGAAUCUCCUAUGGUCUAACUUGGAAAAUGUUGUCAAUCAGCGUUCUUGUGCUUUCCAUUUCAAUUGUAAGGGAUACUGUUUGUGCAGUGGUCUCCAUUCCAUAAAAGGAUCUUGUCUUCAAAGUAGAUUUUUUUCUCUUCUGAGGAUAUUUGUGUGUAUCAAUUUUGCCCCAAAAUUGCUGUUGUGGGAUUGCAGAACAAAAUAUGCAUUCAGUCAAGGGAAUUUCAUUUAGGCUAUGAAAUGCUGAAUUUGAUUGUGACCACUUACCUUUUUUUCAUAAGUGGAGAAAAAAGACUUAUUUAUGGGAGCUCUUACUUGAAAUUGUGAGAAGUCAGAAACGUUCUUCAGAUUGACUUACUCUUCAUGUUGUUCUAUAUAGGCUGGAGAAAGUAACCUAAUUGUUAUUUAUUCAUACAGUAUCACUUUUAUGAUGAUCCUCGUGACUUAUAAAACCUUUUUAGAAAAACAAAGCUUCUAGUACUGAACAGAAAUUUGAAAUUUUUAAUUUUUUUUAUUACCUUUCAUAUAACAAAGUUGAUGCUCCCCCAGGCAUCCCUCUCCCUUUCCUUCUCCCCACAAUUUGUUUCUGGCACAUAUGCAUGUAGGCAAAAGGUAGGGAGGUGGAAGUUGUCAGAGGCCUUUUCUUCUGCUUAUUUGGUGGUAAUGGGAAUUAGGAGCAUAAAUCUUUAUGCCUUUAUGGAGGAGAAGAGACCCAUUUUUGUGUACAGAGAGAUAUAUCUGUAUAUGAGAUAAUGGUAGCAUUUUGCUGAAUAUGGACUUGCCCUCGUGAUGUACAAUAAAUAUAUAUGAAUGCAAUCAAUCUAAAUCUAUAUAUACAUAUAUACAGAUUGAUAAGUGGAAUAUACCUUGUAUCACACACCUGUACGUUAUCUGUAACAUGAGUGAGUGUGUGAGCUAAAGAGAGGGACUAUCCACAUAACAUAUGUGUAACAGGUAAGCACUUGUGCCAGACAAGUUGUUUUAAAUUCUUCUGAGGGAUCUGGAUGACGCAGAGACUGAUCUGAGCUUGGCCACCAUUGGUUUGUGUUACCUCAGCCCUCGCAGUGCAGUUUCCUUGCUAUGUCUCUGCUUUGUUUUAGAUUUAGUCUCAUUGAGACCUCUUGCAAAAUGCCAACUUCUUCUUCUUCUCUGCUCCAUUGCCUCCAUUCCAGCUCCUCCUUGUCCCUGCAUCUCUGAAGUUUCUCUUGCUAGCAGCAAUCAGCUUUAAUGGCCCAAUCCAGCUCUGCUUGUGCAUGAGGGAAAUUCUCUUGGUGACUGGAGUGGUAGCUGAAUUGGGCCCUGAAUAUCUGCUUGAACUUAUGCAAACUUCCCCAGCUUCAAUUGUGAUUCAGUAGGACUGUGACUGAUUUGCAGAUGAAUACAAACUUUUCAUGGAAUCUGAUGCAGAGCUUCCUAGCAUAUUAAAAGGUUAACCGAGCAUUAUAUUUAAAUGGUCAAAAUGAGAAAAUUGCACCCACCAAAUUUUCAACCCUAGCGAGAAAAAAGAAGGUUGUUUUGUGUUUCCCAUAACACAGGCAGUAAGCAGAAGGCAGCCUUGUGCUCUGUUCUGAGCAAUGGGGUUGUCAUCAAACAUAUCAAAAGAAACACAGUUUGUUACACCUUACCAUAAAACAGAUUUUUAGAUGUAGUGCAGAGUUGACCAUUAACAUGCUAGCACUUUGCAUCUAAUUGUGUAUUGGGUAAUAUUGCUUAUGCAAGUAAAUUAUAGACUUAAGUGUUCUGUUUUCUGUCUAAAUGGAACUUCUAUAUCCUUUUAGCAGAAAGCAGCUGUCAUCAACCUGCUCAGUCACAUUGAAGUACUGUGUAUCUUAGGCUUCAGUUUCAGAGGAGAAUGCUGCUCCAUUUCUGUCAUCAAGCCAUACUGGAUUCCAUGUUUUCAAUAUGGCUAUGACACAAUUUUUCUUGGCCACAAUUCAGCCAUGGAAUUUUGUCUUCCUUGAUUUCUGUUAGAAAAAGGUAACUGGUGUACUGUUCCAUCUGAGCUUUCAUGCAGUCAUACAUGACUUCUAUGAUACAUAUGUUGGGGCGUGUGUAUGGGUAUGUCUGUGUACUGCGUGUGGAUAAUGUAGAUUGAUACGCACACGCCUAUUAUGCUACUUCAGUUUAUGUAUGUGGAGAAUGUACCUGUUGGUUAUCUCCUGAUAUAUACUCAUGCAUACCUAUAUUAAAUAUGUAUAUAGAGUGUAGAUGUCCUGCAUAUACAUGUGUAUAUGUUAUGAAACUUGGUUGGCAAUUUUUUUCCACAGUUUUUUUUCUUUUUGCAAAUUGCUGUCCCUUAUUACUUAUUUUCACUAAAGCUGCAUUAUAUAGAAGAAAUGGAGAAAUGUGUUAUCAAAGUUUUAUUUUAAAAAGGAGACUUUUAAUUAUCUAAAGCCAUUUGUAAUUGUCUUUUGAAUUUUUACUAGAAGGGUUGUUUUUUAAAAAGGAAAAGAAAAAAAAAAGGAAACAAAAACCAAAAGCAAGCGGACAAGCCCCUAUUCCCACUCUCAUUUAGGUGAAAGAAAUGGAAAUACAAGUUUCUAAGUAUUUAUUUCCUUCAGGUGUUUCUGAGGCAUACAGUAAUUGCAUUCUGCCCCCAUCGCCCUUUUGUCCAAUUAUAAUAAAUGAUUCAUGAUUUUCUUUUUCCCUCAUUACUUUUGUAAAUCAUUGUUCACCUCCUACAUUCAAUAGUACUGAUAUCACUAAGGAGAUUUCAUGUCCUUCUGUCCUUUUUAGGAGAAAUACCAGUGCAUCACUAUUGUGUUUCAUUUUAACAUACUUUGUGGAGGAUGGAUGUUUUUAUUGAAGAUGUCUGUAACCCGUCUAACUUAUUUAAUGUGAGAAGCCUUCAUUGGAAUCUAUCGUCUGUUUGUUUCCAACAAGCUCAAGUUUCUGCAACUGUUUUUUCACCAACACGUUAAAUAAUUCCCUUGUUUUAUGCCUGAGGUUUUAAAAUUUGGGUUUGUUUUUUGGCUUUUUUCCCUCCAAUUCCCAAUAAUAUUUAUCUGCAAGUGGAGCAAAACAGAUGUCAGAAGCUCAACCAAUAUCCUUUUUGCAGUUCAGGGUAAAUAUAUUUAUCCUAGACUUAAUAAAAGAAGGUGGCAAAUGGACAAUCUGAAGUGCUUAGAGGGAAUGCUCUAUCUUUUUAAGGCUGUCUCCGAGAAGUUUGUGUUUGGUGUCAUUUUAAAGGUAGCUUGAUCAUGCUUUGAUAUCAGAAACAGCCUUGUAACAAAGAGCCUCAUACAGUUGUUCGGUCACUAGAGUUUAAAAUGUAAACAAGUUGCAGUGGGAAAGCAAAGGUGAGGCAGUGUAUUUUGAACCAGUGAAUUGUAGCUUGCAAAUGUACCUGAUUUUGAAGUAACUGCAUGGUAGCAAGGAUUAGCAGUCUCUUACACCCCUUCCUUCUUCCCUCUCAUAUCUGACACAUGUGUUCAGCAUACCAUACAUUGGGAAAAAUAAGCAACUUCCUCCAGCAACGCUAAUCCACUUAAUGACUGCUUAAAGGGAACAUACAAACGGCACUGCCGCGUCCCGGCUCAUGGUGUUAGCUGGAAGCCUGGCUAAACGCACAAACAGCCCAGCCCAGCUUGCUUCUGUGCACGUGUCGCUUGGGGAGAGUGUGGUGCAUGGAGGUGCCCCAGAGAAGGAUUCCUUCCUUCAGGGUCCCUGGCAGCAAUGGCAACCUGUACCACUGCUUCUAGUGCUGGAGGCACACGGACAGCAUUCCAGGGGCGGGGAGGAAAGCUUGUGUUUGUACUUUCCCUUUAAAUAGGAAAGGUUGGCUCACAUGUUCCUCAUACUUCUCAAUGAAUGUACUGUAUUACCAUUUAAAAAAAAAAAUCAAUUAAAUGAUAAUAGAUUGGUCUCCUUUUGUUAUCUGGUCCUUGUUUAAUUUGUUUAAGGGUUUUUGUAUACAAAAGUUUACAUUUUUAUGUAUAUUUUUCUUGUGUAAAAACUGAUGUAAUAUGUGUAUAAAACACUGUAUGUAUUAUCUGUAUAUAGUGUGACAAAAUGAUUUUCUUUCUUUCUUUUGGAUGUAUUAAUAAAUC
ensembl:lncRNA